UACAGAGGUCCCAAGCGUUGUUCGGAUUCAUUGGGCGUAAAGGGUGCGUAGGUGGCGUCGUAAGUCGGGUGUGAAAUCUCGGGGCUUAACUCCGAAACUGCAUUCGAUACUGCGGUGCUUGAGGACUGGAGAGGAGACUGGAAUUUACGGUGUAGCAGUGAAAUGCGUAGAGAUCGUAAGGAAGACCAGUGGCGAAGGCGGGUCUCUGGGCCGAUACUGACGCUGAGGAGCGAAAGCGUGGGGAGCGAACAGG
rnacentral:rRNA from 1 species